rnacentral:rRNA from 1 species
CACGCAGGUGGCUGAGAAAGUCGAUUGUGAAAGCCCUGGGCUUAACCUGGGAAUUGCAGUCGAAACUACUCGGCUAGAGUAUGGGAGAGGGUAGUGGAAUUCCCGGUGUAGCGGUGAAAUGCGUAGAUAUCGGGAGGAACAUCAGUGGCGAAGGCGGCUACCUGGCCCAAUACUGACACUCAGGUGCGACAGCGUGGGGAGCAAACG